AUAUAUAUUGACUAUUAAUUUGUUCAUAUAUUGUAGCAAAAAUGGGCUAGUUUUUUCUAUGGGAAAUGCCAUUGCCAUUUUUUUAAGAUUGGAAUUUCAAUGUCUUGCCCCUGGUGGCUAUGUUGGACGGCAGAUCAUCAUGAUGAUGGCCAUGAAGAUUACUUGAGUUUAAAAGCUUACUGUUUAAGAUCUUUAAAACUGAUAUAUGUCCCUAUAGUGGAUGAAAUAGGGCACUGGUUUCUAAUGGUGGUUGCUUGAGAGGAUUGAAAAGUUUAUCUCCUAGACUCCCACUUGGUAGCUACGAAGGGUCUUCUUAAAAAAAUUGUAAGUGAAACUACAAUUUACAGCUAUUUAUGUAAAGUCAA